rnacentral:rRNA from 1 species
AUUGAACGCUGGCGGCAGGCCUAACACAUGCAAGUCGAGCGGAGCGGCGGACGGGUGAGUAAUGCCUAGGAAUCUGCCUGGUAGCGGGGGAUAACGUCCGGAAACGGGCGCUAAUACCGCAUACUAUCAGAUGAGACUAGGGCGGAUUAUGUAGUUGGUGGGGUAAAGGCCCACCUAGGAGACGAUCCCUAGCUGGUCUGAGAGGUUGACCGGCAACCCUGGAUCUGAGUCACGGGCCAGACUCCUACGGGGGGCAGCGGUGGGGAAUAUUGCACAAUGGUGGCAAGCCUGAUGCAGCAAGGCCGCGUGUAUGAAGAAGGCCUUCGGGUUGUAAAGUACUUUCAGCGGGGAGGCGUUACCCGCAGAAGAAGCACCGGCUAACUCCGUGCCAGCAGCCGCGGUAAUAC